rnacentral:misc_RNA from 1 species
CACAUGAGAAAAUCAAAAGUUUGACACUUGGCGCUAUGUCUGGAGCUAGUUUGUGAGGCUUGUAACUAUGGCUGCAUUUUGCUAAUUAUUUUAUAAAUAUAUAGUGUUUCGUGAAUCAGUGUUCAGUCAAUGAAUGGGUUUAAAUGCAUAUAUAAGCGUAUUUGGAUUUUUACUUGUAUGUUGUUCAUUUUUAGUCCAAAAUGUCAUACCAUGUGCAGGAUUUUUCUGCUCUAGAUGGAGGUCAACUGGAAUCAUAUGCAAAUGGGUUACAGCUUUCUGGUUAUUGUGAUGGUAUGGCACUUGGACAGGAAUACAGUUUAUUGCAAAGCAUUCUAGUAGAUGGAGGUACUCAUUUUGGAGUGUCUACUGUUUCAUUUGACAACUAUGAAGAACUUUUGUGGAUGGGAAAUCAAGGAGUUAGUAUGAAGACAUUUAUGCAGAAAAAUAAUGGUCACAUGACCUCAUAUUCAACAGCAGAACUGCAGAAGUAUACUUCCUUUCAAGUACAUGUUAACAAUGAAAUUCGGGAAAUAGUGCCUCAUGAUGCUGGUAUAUUAUCCUUAACCAGCAAUUCCUUACGCAUGUCAGCUAGAAGGGGACUUCCAAUAUUUAAUCAUUGCUCUGAGCAAAUCCAAAAUAUGCAGUGCAUGGUUUUAACCCCUGAUGGAACUUUGUUAAUGGGUGGUCACCAUAGAAAUCUUAUUGAAUUGGAUCUAAAUACUAUACAGGAAAUAAACAUUGUGCAAGUUAGUGGAGAUAAUUGUGCUAUUUUACGCAAGCAUCCUCGUUUUAUAUGUUCUGGUGAUAUCAGUGGAAAGGUAACUUUUCAUGACCCUAAUACAUUGAGUGUUGAACAUGUUAUCGACUGCCAUACAGGAAUGCUUUCAGAUUUUGAUGUUCAUGGGAAUCAACUGGUAACUUGUGGUUUUUCUUCAAGGCAUGGUGAGCUGUCUGUUGAAAGGUUUCUAAAAGUUUAUGAUCUUCGAGUUAUGAAGAGUAUGAGUCCUAUUCCAAUGAUGUUUCCACCUUUACUGCUUCGUUUUGUUCCAGCAUAUACAUCUCGUCUGUGUGCAGUAUCACAAACUGGACAGUUCCAGAUGGUAGAUACUAAUAAUUCAGACCAGUAUGCUUUGUUUAUUCAUCAAGUUGAAACUGGAGCUUCUGAUAUUUUGACAUUUGAUACAUCAUCAUCCUGUCAAGCUUUUGCUUUUGGAGAUGCUGCUGGUUAUUUACAUUUGUAUGGUGCUAGUAAUGAAGUUCAAUUUAAUCAGUUCAGCAGGCCUACAGAAUUUGCAGAUUCUGUUGAACCAUUACAGCCUAUAGAUAUUAAUGAUGAAGUUACUCCUCUGUCUACUAUACCUUUACCUAACUGUGAGGGUAAACUCCUCUCAGAUUGGCCUCCAGAACUAUGCCAAGUAGCAUACAGACCUACACCACCAAUUGACCCUCUUAUUUUGAAUACAAUGAAAAUGGUUGGUUCUAUUGGUUAUGCACCUAAUCCUGCAAAUCGUCGACGUAAUCAGGUGCCAUAUCAACUUAAUCAAAACAAGUUAUUGAGGGAUUCACCUGUGCCUCGAGAGGAUGGUCCUGAAGUCAUUCCUGCCCGUUACUUAAAACAAGAAAUCAAAUACACAAAAAUGGGAUUAGAUGAGAUCGAUUUUAAUCGUUACAAUCGCACAAGUUUUUCUGGCUUGGAAGCCAAUUUGCCUAAUGCAUACUGCAAUAAUUUGAUACAGGUUUUAUAUUUUAUUGAACCUCUCAGAUGUGCCCUAUUAAAUCAUUUGUGUCAAAGAGAAUUUUGCUUAGCAUGUGAAUUAGGAUUUUUAUUUCAUAUGCUUGACACAGCUCAGGGUUUGCCUUGUCAGGCAUCAAACUUUUUGCGGGCUUUUCGUACUAUUCCAGAGGCAUCAGCUCAUGGUCUCAUUAUUAAUGAAUUAAAUGAAUCAAAAAAAAGAAGCAAUCUACCAACACUGGUGCAGAGUUGGACACGUUUUAUGCUUCAGCAGCUCCAUACGGAAACUUUGGAAGUGGUUGAUCACAUACUUGCAGAUAAUAAUUCUGAGAGUACAUCUGUUAUGACACAACUGUUUGGGGCAAAACUGUUUAGUUGUAACAGUUGCCGUUGUAGAAGUGAAACCUGUCAAGAGACCACAACUUUGCUAACACAGUUGCUCUAUCCUGAUAAUCACAUGCCAGAUAAAGCUCCUGUGCAAUAUUCCUUUACUGACAUUGUUCAGAGGAGUCUUGCAGUCAAACAUCAUAUUACAGCAUGGUGUGAAAAUUGUAGUCGGUUCACUAGCAUGAUUCAAACAAAAUUCUUGAAGUCCUUGCCUGAUAUUCUUGUUUUGAAUUGCGGUGAUAAUAAGCAUGAAUUAGAAUUUUGGAGAAAUCAAUUUCAAUUAUUAUCUAAAUCCAGUGAUGUAUCUGUGAUGAGAACUUUACCUGAUGUUCCAAUUAGACGGAAACAUUGUCGUUAUGGUGGUCUGUGCAAGAGAGCUGAUUGUAGAUAUUAUCAUGAACAUAAAAACACAGAGAACGACCAAGAUCCAUCUAAAACUUCAAUUUCAUGGAUACCACUGAGUCUGAAACUGAAACUUAAAGCUGGGGAAGUAAUAGUGGAAGAUCAAAAUGAUAAUAACAGUGCUUCUAAUUCUGAAGAAGAAGAUGCAGAAGUUGUAACUUAUGAUUUGACUGCAGUUGUAUCAGUCAUAUCUGACACUCAGGAUAAUGGCAGGGAUAAUAUAGUUAGUUGCAUUAAGGUUGGUCCAACGCCACAUAUUCGACAUAAAGGUUGCUCAGCUUACCAGUGGUAUUUAUUUAAUGAUUUCAGCAUUGUACCUAUUACUGCUCAAGAAGCUGUUUAUCUAAAUUUUGACUGGAAAAUACCAUGUGUCCUUUAUUUUUCAAGGAUAGAUUUGAAUAGCAAACAUAAUUUACAAGUAUUCAAUCCUGUAGAAAAGCAAGUUUUCAGAGAAGAUGUAUCUCUGGCAGCAAGAAGUGGGCAAACCCAUAUGACUUUUACACCUCUCACUUUUGAUGAUGAUUCUGAACCAGCUGGCCAGCUUGUAGCCAUGGAUGCUGAAUUUGUAACGUUAAAUCAGAUACCCAGUGCCAACAUUGUGGAAAUAUCUUGGUUCACCUGUAGCAGUGCUUGCUCUGUUGAUGGUUUGAAUGGAGUUGUCUGUUGCCAGAAAAUUUUACAGAACAGUUCAGAAAUAAAUGCCAAGAAGUGGUUCCUUCAUCUUAUGAAUCAAAUCAUAGUCUUGCCUAUAUAAUUUUAGACCACCAGCUCAUGAAGAAGCUGAAAUUCGAAGUGAUGGCACAAGAUCAACUAUAAGGCCAUCACAACUCUCUGUAGCAAGAAUAUCUUGUGUGAGGGGGGAUGGCCCACUGGAAGGUGUUCCAUUUAUAGAUGACUAUAUAUCCACUCAAG